rnacentral:rRNA from 1 species
UUAGAUACCCCACUAUGCUUAGCCAUAAAAUAUUAAUUACACUAAAACCGCCAAAAAACUACGAGCGCAAGCUUGAAACUUAAAGGACUUGACGGUGUCCCAUCUACCUAGAGGAGCCUGUUCUAUAAUUGAUGAUCCUCGUUAUACCUCACCUCUCUUAGCUUAUCAGUCUGUAUACUUCCGUCGUAAGCUUACCAUAUGAAUGUAUUAGUAGGCUAAACAGCUUAACCCCCUAAAACGUCAGGUCAAAGUGCAGCCCACAGAGAGGGAAGAAAUGGGCUACCGUUUCUAACUCAAGAACAAACGAACUAACAUUUUAAUAACUGUUAUGAAGGUGGAUUUAGAAGUAAAGUGAAAAUAGAGUGUUCACUUUAACAAUGCUCUGGGACGUGUACACACCGCCCG